rnacentral:rRNA from 1 species
GUAGGUGGCAAGCGUUGUCCGGAAUUAUUGGGCGUAAAGCGCGCGCAGGCGGUUCUUUAAGUCUGAUGUGAAAGCCCACGGCUCAACCGUGGAGGGUCAUUGGAAACUGGAGAACUUGAGUACAGAAGAGGAAAGCGGAAUUCCACGUGUAGCGGUGAAAUGCGUAGAGAUGUGGAGGAACACCAGUGGCGAAGGCGGCUUUCUGGUCUGUAACUGACGCUGAGGCGCGAAAGUGUGGGGAGCAAACAGGAUUAGAUACCCUGGUAGUCCACGCCGUAAACGAUGAGUGCUAAGUGUUAGGCGGUUUCCGCCCCUUAGUGCUGCAGCUAACGCAUUAAGCACUCCGCCUGGGAGUACGGCCGCAAGGCUG